UGCAUCGGCCGGGAAUCGAACCCGGGCCGCCCGCGUGGCAGGCGAGCAUUCAUCCCAUCCGUGAGCUUC